GGGCAUAUCACACUGAAGCACCGAUUCUCAUAUGAUCACUGGUUAAGCAACGUCGAGCCUGGUCAGUACUUAGUUGAGUGACCGCUUGGGAAUAUUAUAAACUGU